GACGAACGCUGGCGGCGUGCCUAAUACAUGCAAGUAGAACGCUGAAGAGAGGAGCUUGCUCUUCUUGGAUGAGUUGCGAACGGGUGAGUAGCGCGUAGGUAACCUGCCUUGUAGCGGGGGAUAACUAUUGGAAACGAUAGCUAAUACCGCAUAACAAUGGAUGACACAUGUCAUUUAUUUGAAAGGGGCAAUUGCUCCACUACAAGAUGGACCUGCGUUGUAUUAGCUAGUAGGUGAGGUAACGGCUCACCUAGGCGACGAUACAUAGCCGACCUGAGAGGGUGAUCGGCCACACUGGGACUGAGACACGGCCCAGACUCCUACGGGAGGCAGCAGUAGGGAAUCUUCGGCAAUGGGGGCAACCCUGACCGAGCAACGCCGCGUGAGUGAAGAAGGUUUUCGGAUCGUAAAGCUCUGUUGUAAGUCAAGAACGAGUGUGAGAGUGGAAAGUUCACACUGUGACGGUAGCUUACCAGAAAGGGACGGCUAACUACGUG
rnacentral:rRNA from 1 species